rnacentral:rRNA from 1 species
UACGUAGGGUGCAAGCGUUAAUCGGAAUUACUGGGCGUAAAGCGUGCGCAGGCGGCUUUGCAAGACAGAUGUGAAAUCCCCGGGCUCAACCCGGGAACUGCGUCCGAUACUGGCAGGCUUGAAUCCGGGAGAGGGAUGCGGAAUUCCAGGUGUAGCGGUGAAAUGCGUAGAUAUCUGGAGGAACACCGGUGGCGAAGGCGGCAUCCUGGACCGGCAUUGACGCUGAGGCGCGAAAGCCAGGGGAGCAAAGCGGG